AUGUUGCACCUCAACUUCUCUAGUAAAAAGGUAAAAAGAGAAAGGGAGACCCAUUUCCGGGAACUGCAAGGAGGACUGACUGCAUCAGGCCAGUCCCCCCUCUCCCCAAGGGUAAAACCCUGGCACAGCACAGGCGUUCCAACCGCCCCUCCUUGGGCACACAUCUUGCAGAUCUGUCCCCGUGAAACACGCUGUCUGCUAGGAGCCGAGCUGCUGUGCUUAAGGUUUGCAAGGGGUCGCGGGAGACGAGGGCCGAAUGGGACCUGGAGUCUGUGCUCUUUUCCCUCUAAGGAGGGUCCCUCCGUACGUAGGAGGAGCCGGAGCCGGCCUUCGGGAGAGGGGGCUGAGGCCAGCGUCUGCGGGGAGAAGCUGCCCCGGGGGGAGGGGGGCGGAGAGAAAGAAUGCGGAGCCCGCGCUCAAGUUUGCAGAGUCCCCGGCUCCGUUCCCUUGGCAGGCGCAGGCCACUUUUUGGCAGCCGAGCGGCGGGAGCGGGGCGGGGCUGCGCGGCCCCUAUUGGUCCGCCCGCGGCUGUUGCUACGCGGAUGGACCAAUGGCGCGCGAGGAGCGGGGGGGGGCUCCUCCGCGGGACGCCCUCCUCCCCCUCUGCCCCGCCGGGGCUCCUUUUUCCUUUUUUUUCUUUUUCUUUUUUCUUUUUCUUUUUUUUCUUUUUCUUUUUCUUUUUCUUUUUCUUUUUCUUUUUCUUUUUCUUUUUCUUUUUUUUUUCUUUUUCUUUUUCUUUUUCUUCUUCUUUUUCUUUUUCUUUUUCUUCUUCUUCUUUUUCUUUCUUUUUCUUUUUCUUCUUUUUUUCUUUUUCUUCUUUUUCUUUUUUCUUUCUUUUUCUUUUUUUCUUUGUCUUUUUCUUUUCCUUUUCCUUUUUUCUUUUCCUUUUUUUCUUUUUUCUUUCUUCUUUUUCUUCCUUCUACUUUCUUUUUUCUUCUUCUUUAUUCCCUUUCCUUUCCUUUUUUUUUUUUUUUUUUUUUUUUUAAGGAGGGUCGGGGACGAGGUGGGGCGCAGCCGGGGCGGGGCGGACGCCUCCCUGCGCCUCGCCCGGGGAGGUUGGGGCUCUGGGGUGGCUCACCUGUCAGACUCGUUCCUCCUCUCCGGGAUUCCUCGCCCUCCUGGCUUUGCACAGCCUGGAGCUAA
rnacentral:lncRNA from 1 species